UUUAUUGGAGAGUUUGAUCCUGGCUCAGGAUGAACGCUGGCGGCGUGCCUAAUACAUGCAAGUCGAGCGAAYGGAUUAAGAGCUUGCUCUUAUGAAGUUAGCGGCGGACGGGUGAGUAACACGUGGGUAACCUGCCCAUAAGACUGGGAUAACUCCGGGAAACCGGGGCUAAUACCGGAUAACAUUUUGAACCGCAUGGUUCGAAAUUGAAAGGCGGCUUCGGCUGUCACUUAUGGAUGGACCCGCGUCGCAUUAGCUAGUUGGUGAGGUAACGGCUCACCAAGGCAACGAUGCGUAGCCGACCUGAGAGGGUGAUCGGCCACACUGGGACUGAGACACGGCCCAGACUCCUACGGGAGGCAGCAGUAGGGAAUCUUCCGCAAUGGACGAA
rnacentral:rRNA from 1 species